rnacentral:rRNA from 1 species
ACUCCUACGGGAGGCAGCAGUGGGGAAUAUUGCACAAUGGGGGGAAACCCUGAUGCAGCCAUGCCGCGUGUGUGAAGAAGGCCUUCGGGUUGUAAAGCACUUUCAGUAGGGAGGAAGGUAGUNUAGUUACACCUGCAUUAUUGACGUUACCUACAGAAGAGCACCGGCUAACUCCGUGCCAGCAGCCGCGGUAAUACGGAGGGUGCGAGCGUUAAUCGGAAUUACUGGGCGUAAAGCGCAUGCAGGUGGCCUGUUAAGUCAGAUGUGAAAGCCCGGGGCUUAACCUCGGAAUUGCAUUGAAACUGGCGGCUAGAGUCUUGUAGAGGGGGGUAGAAUUGCAGGG